AGCAUUGUGUUUGUUAUUGUUUAAUUUGUGGACAAAGACUUAUAGACGGGUGUGAAAAAUAAAUCCUCUUUUGCAGCCAGAACUCAUUGUUCAGUAUGAGUUUUGAUAUACAUAAAAAGGAACAUA